rnacentral:lncRNA from 1 species
AACACAGAGAUAUCAGUUUUAAAACAUGAUUAUCGAUAUCUCUGCUUCAAACCUCAAAAAUGCGGCAUACAUAAGCAAUUAACCCAUUCCAAUUUAUUGUUUAAACAUUACGCAUCAAUUACUUCGACAAAUAAUCAUUCAACGGUCUAGUUAACAAUUCAAUAUUGCAAAAUCGUGUUCGAGCAAAUAACGCCAAUCCAUCCUCAAGUUCAUGAACCUAAGCAUAACAAUAACAUGUAAUCCUUAUAAAC